rnacentral:rRNA from 1 species
UUAAGCGACUAAGCGUACACGGUGGAUGCCCUGGCAGUCAGAGGCGAUGAAGGACGUGCUAAUCUGCGAAAAGCGUCGGUAAGGUGAUAUGAACCGUUAUAACCGGCGAUGUCCGAAUGGGGAAACCCAGUGUGAUUCGUCACACUAUCGUUAACUGAAUACAUAGGUUAACGAGGCGAACCGGGGGAACUGAAACAUCUAAGUACCCCGAGGAAAAGAAAUCAACCGAGAUUCCCCCAGUAGCGGCGAGCGAACGGGGAGCAGCCCAGAGUCUGAAUCAGCUUGUGUGUUAGUGGAACGGUCUGGAAAGUCCGACGGUACAGGGUGAUAGUCCCGUACACCAAAAUGCACAGGCUGUGAACUCGAAGAGUAGGGCGGGACACGUGGUAUCCUGUCUGAAUAUGGGGGGACCAUCCUCCAAGGCUAAAUACUCCUGACUGACCGAUAGUGAACCAGUACCGUGAGGGAAAGGCGAAAAGAACCCCGGCGAGGGGAGUGAAAAAGAACCUGAAACCGUGUACGUACAAGCAGUGGGAGCACCUUCGGGUGUGACUGCGUACCUUUUGUAUAAUGGGUCAGCGACUUAUAUUCUGUAGCAAGGUUAACCGUAUAGGGGAGCCGCAGGGAAACCGAGUCUUAACUGGGCGUUAAGUUGCAGGGUAUAGACCCGAAACCCGGUGAUCUAGCCAUGGGCAGGUUGAAGGUUGGGUAACACUAACUGGAGGACCGAACCGACUAAUGUUGAAAAAUUAGCGGAUGACUUGUGGCUGGGGGUGAAAGGCCAAUCAAACCGGGAGAUAGCUGGUUCUCCCCGAAAGCUAUUUAGGUAGCGCCUCGUGAAUUCAUCUUCGGGGGUAGAGCACUGUUUCGGCUAGGGGGUCAUCCCGACUUACCAACCCGAUGCAAACUACGAAUACCGAAGAAUGUUAUCACGGGAGACACACGGCGGGUGCUAACGUCCGUCGUGAAGAGGGAAACAACCCAGACCGCCAGCUAAGGUCCCAAAGUCAUGGUUAAGUGGGAAACGAUGUGGGAAGGCACAGACAGCCAGGAUGUUGGCUUAGAAGCAGCCAUCAUUUAAAGAAAGCGUAAUAGCUCACUGGUCGAGUCGGCCUGCGCGGAAGAUGUAACGGGGCUAAACCAUGCACCGAAGCUGCGGCAGCGACACUAUGUGUUGUUGGGUAGGGGAGCGUUCUGUAAGCCUGCGAAGGUGUGCUGUGAGGCAUGCUGGAGGUAUCAGAAGUGCGAAUGCUGACAUAAGUAACGAUAAAGCGGGUGAAAAGCCCGCUCGCCGGAAGACCAAGGGUUCCUGUCCAACGUUAAUCGGGGCAGGGUGAGUCGACCCCUAAGGCGAGGCCGAAAGGCGUAGUCGAUGGGAAACAGGUUAAUAUUCCUGUACUUGGUGUUACUGCGAAGGGGGGACGGAGAAGGCUAUGUUAGCCGGGCGACGGUUGUCCCGGUUUAAGCAUGUAGGCUGGUUGUCCAGGCAAAUCCGGAUAAUCAAGGCUGAGGUGUGAUGACGAGGCACUACGGUGCUGAAGUAACAAAUGCCCUGCUUCCAGGAAAAGCCUCUAAGCAUCAGGUAACAUCAAAUCGUACCCCAAACCGACACAGGUGGUCAGGUAGAGAAUACCAAGGCGCUUGAGAGAACUCGGGUGAAGGAACUAGGCAAAAUGGUGCCGUAACUUCGGGAGAAGGCACGCUGGUGUGUAGGUGAAGUCCCUGCGGAUGGAGCUGAGACCAGUCGAAGAUACCAGCUGGCUGCAACUGUUUAUUAAAAACACAGCACUGUGCAAACACGAAAGUGGACGUAUACGGUGUGACGCCUGCCCGGUGCCGGAAGGUUAAUUGAUGGGGUUAUCCGUAAGGAGAAGCUCUUGAUCGAAGCCCCGGUAAACGGCGGCCGUAACUAUAACGGUCCUAAGGUAGCGAAAUUCCUUGUCGGGUAAGUUCCGACCUGCACGAAUGGCGUAAUGAUGGCCAGGCUGUCUCCACCCGAGACUCAGUGAAAUUGAACUCGCUGUGAAGAUGCAGUGUACCCGCGGCAAGACGGAAAGACCCCGUGAACCUUUACUAUAGCUUGACACUGAACAUUGAGCCUUGAUGUGUAGGAUAGGUGGGAGGCUUUGAAGCGUGGACGCCAGUCUGCGUGGAGCCAACCUUGAAAUACCACCCUUUAAUGUUUGAUGUUCUAACGUUGGCCCCUUACCGGGGUUGCGGACAGUGUCUGGUGGGUAGUUUGACUGGGGCGGUCUCCUCCCAAAGCGUAACGGAGGAGCACGAAGGUUAGCUAAUCCUGGUCGGACAUCAGGAGGUUAGUGCAAUGGCAUAAGCUAGCUUGACUGCGAGCGUGACGGCGCGAGCAGGUGCGAAAGCAGGUCAUAGUGAUCCGGUGGUUCUGAAUGGAAGGGCCAUCGCUCAACGGAUAAAAGGUACUCCGGGGAUAACAGGCUGAUACCGCCCAAGAGUUCAUAUCGACGGCGGUGUUUGGCACCUCGAUGUCGGCUCAUCACAUCCUGGGGCUGAAGUAGGUCCCAAGGGUAUGGCUGUUCGCCAUUUAAAGUGGUACGCGAGCUGGGUUUAGAACGUCGUGAGACAGUUCGGUCCCUAUCUGCCGUGGGCGCUGGAGAAUUGAGGGGGGCUGCUCCUAGUACGAGAGGACCGGAGUGGACGCAUCACUGGUGUUCGGGUUGUCAUGCCAAUGGCACUGCCCGGUAGCUAAAUGCGGAAGAGAUAAGUGCUGAAAGCAUCUAAGCACGAAACUUGCCCCGAGAUGAGUUCUCCCUGAGACUUUAAGUCUCCUGAAGGAACGUUAAAGACGAUGACGUUGAUAGGCCGGGUGUGUAAGCGCAGCGAUGCGUUGAGCUAACCGGUACUAAUGAACCGUGAGGCUUAACCU